ACCACUUUUUCGACCGUGAAGGUGACACAACACACUCUAUUAUGUGUGUGUGGUACACAAUCAAGGAUCUGGACAACAAUGAAGAACUUAAGUUUGACAUGAAAGGCCGUAUUUAGUAAACUCCUGAAGUGCUCACGGGGACUAAUCCAGUCCAGAGCGGUGGAGCAACGUGAGCUGCACGACAGUCAGGCCUGGGUCCAGUUUGGCACAGAGGUGAAAAGACAAUAGCUUUCAGGAGACCGGUUCCAGCUUCGGACCAACAUAAUGUCAUUAACACAUGUUUACAUGACUCCGUUCCUCCAAACUGCGGGAGCCGUUUACUUUACGUAAAACACCUUUAUAGGUAUAUUUACCAAGUGUGUUUCCACUGCUGCAUCCAAACGCGCCAUGUCGUCCUGCAGAACCCUGGCGCACAACAGACAUUAAAGAUAAAACGAUACACAGUGCAUAUAUAUGUAAACCGACAGGCCUUUGUUCUUGACAGCAGCGUACAGAUGCUGUUCAUGGGCUAAGACUGAACAUGCAUUUGCGAGGAGACUCCAGUGUUUGUGGCGCGUUUUCUCUCUUUGCAACGCCCAUUUGAAACCUUUGGACACGGGCUAUUUCCUGCAGUCCAAUCCAUUCUCAUUUGUCAUCACUGCAGGGUAAGUGGGCACAUGUGUCGCAUAUCCCUAAUCCGCUUAUGCAACUAAUCUUUGUAUGCGGUUCGAAUUUACUUUUCCAACAUCAAAGCCCGUGGAUUUGUCGUGCGGGGACGUGCUGAGGAGACGGUGUAAUAUUUUAUUUUGACCAGGUGGCUCAGUGCUUCACGUGGACGGACUUUGGCUCCGUUCAGCCGCUUCGUACGCGAGACCGUUUGUUUCGUUUGGUGACAGAAUUCGUCUUAUAUAAUAAAACUGACGACAACUC